rnacentral:rRNA from 1 species
UACGAAGGGGGCUAGCGUUGCUCGGAAUUACUGGGCGUAAAGCGCACGUAGGCGGCUUUCUAAGUCGGGGGUGAAAUCCUGGAGCUCAACUCCAGAACUGCCUUCGAUACUGGGACGCUUGAGUAUGGUAGAGGUUGGUGGAACUGCGAGUGUAGAGGUGAAAUUCGUAGAUAUUCGCAAGAACACCAGUGGCGAAGGCGGCUGUCUGGUCCGGGUUCUGACGCUGAGGCGCGAAAGCGUGGGGAGCAAACAGG